rnacentral:rRNA from 1 species
AUUGAACGCUGGCGGCAAGCCUAACACAUGCAAGUCGAACGAGUGGCGGACGGGUGAGUAAUGUCUGGGAAACUGCCUGAUGGAGGGGGAUAACUACUGGAAACUGUAGCUAAUACCGCAUUCCAUCGGAUGUGCCCAGAUGGGAUUAGCUAGGAGGUGGGGUAAAGGCUCACCUAGGCGACGAUCCCUUGCUGGUCUGAGAGGAUGACCAGCCACACUGGAACUGAGACACGGUCCAGACUCCUACGGGAGGCAGCAGUGGGGAAUAUUGGACAAUGGGAGAAAGCCUGAUGCAGCCAUGCCGCGUGUAUGAAGAAGGUCUUCGGAUUGUAAAGCACUUUAAGUUGGGAGGCGUUACCAACAGAAUAAGCCACGGCUAACUACGUGCCAGCAGCCGCGGUAAUUC